rnacentral:rRNA from 1 species
CUUGAACGCUGGCGGCCGGCUUAACACAUGCAAGUCGAGCGAGCGGCGGACGGGUGAGUCAUGUCUGGGAACCUGCCUGAUGGAGGGGUAUAACUACUGGAAACGGUAGCUAAUACCGCAUACCCUCAGAUGUGCCCAGAUGGGAUUCGCUAGUAGGUUGGGUAAUGUCUCACCUAGGCGACGAUCCCUAGCUGGUCUGAGAGGAUGCCCAGCCACACGGGAACUGAGACACGGUCCAGAAUCCUACGGGAGGCAGCAGUGGGGAAUAUUGCACAAUGGGCGCAAGCCUGAUGCAGCCAUGCCGCGUGUGUGAAGAAGGCCUGCGGGUUGUAAAGCUCUUUCAGCGAGGAGGCGUUACUCGCAGAAGAAGCACCGGCUAACUCCGUGCCAGCAGCCGCGGUAAUAC